rnacentral:rRNA from 1 species
UACGGAGGGUGCAAGCGUUAUCCGGAUUUACUGGGUUUAAAGGGUGCGUAGGUGGGUCUGUAAGUCAGUGGUGAAAUCUCCGAGCUUAACUCGGAAACUGCCAUUGAUACUAUAGGUCUUGAAUCAUCUGGAGGUGAGCGGAAUAUGUCAUGUAGCGGUGAAAUGCUUAGAUAUGACAUAGAAAACAAAUGGCGAAGGCGGCCCACUCGGGAUGAAUUGACACGGAGGAACGAAAGCGUGGGAUCAAACAGG